ensembl:lncRNA
UGGAAAGCCGGGGCAGCGGCAAAAGGAAAGGAGGGGGGGGGGCGGUGAAAAAAACAUCUCAGCACCUGCAUUACGUCACUAGAUGAUAUCUGUCCUUUUAGAACUCAGAACUCCCCCCAUACACACACACCACUCAGUGUACAGGUUAAUUCCAGGACUUAUAACCACAUUGUGUCAGGACAUUUAUAAAGGCCUUCUCAUCCUGCACAUCACUUCCUCCAGCCAUAUCCCCCUGGUAGAAGAUUUUGGGCCAUUAAAGACACCACAAGUAUACAUGUUAACAGGUAUAGUGCGCAUUAACUGCAGUGAACAUGUUAAACUGAACCAGCAAACUUCCCUUACUGUAUAACACAGCUGGAACCUAGUAUAUUAUAUCAUCCUGUCAUCAAAUCAAAUCAAAUCAUGCUUAUUGUCUCAUCACAUUUACACAGGUGGAAAGUGAAAGAAAAACUGUUCAGCAGCCUGAUGGUCCAGGAAACUGUCUUGGAACUGGCUGGUUCUGGACUUUAUGCUUCUGUACCUCCUCCCGCUUGGCAGCUGUGAGAACAGACAGUGGCUUGGGUGGAUGGAGUCCUUCAGAGUCCUCGUGGUCUUCCUCAUAUACUGUAAAUAACAGUUUAUGUGUCCUUAGACCCUACACAUAUGCAUAUAUUUACAUAUUCAUCUCUUU